AUGGGUGGCCACUCUGGGAUUAGAGCCACCUAUCAUAGAAUCAAAAGAAUUUUCUACUGGCCUAACAUGAAAAGUUCAGUAGAAGAAUUCAUUAAACAGUGCCCCGUCUGCCAGAGAGCUAAAGGGGAACACUGCCACUACCCUGGGUUAUUGGACCCUCUGCCAAUACCUGAUAUGGCUUGGAGGCACAUUUCCAUGGAUUUUGCUCUGUCCCACCCAUUCACUGUCACUACUGUCCUACAGGCAUUCAUCCACAAUGUUUUCAAACUGCAUGGACUGCCAGUAUCCAUAGUGUCUGACAGAGAUACAAUAUUCACCAGCAACUUUUGGCAGUCACUGUCUAAAACAUUGGGAGUCAAACUGAACAUGAGCAGAACUCACCACCCCCAGUCUGAUGGACAGACAGAGAGGGUUAAUCAAUGUUUAGAAGCAUAUUUGAGAUGCAUGGCCUUCAAUGAACCCAAGAAAUGGUACUCCUGGUUACCACUAGCCAAAUGGUGGUUCAAUACAUCAUACCACACAACUACUAAGUUCACUCCCUUCCAGUGUCUAUAUGGUUUUCCCCCUCCUCAAAUUGGGGAGGUCUCUAUACCUGGUCCUGUAGAUACUGAAGCAAAGUCAUUGUUAGAACAGAAGGAAAACAUACAACAACAGCUCAGACACAACUUGGAAAUAGCACAAGAAAGAAUGAAAAAGCAUGUAGAUAGAAACAGAAGUGACAGACAGUUCCAAGCAGGAGAUAUGGUUUAUUUAAAAAUGCAACCUUACAGAUUGGCUGCUUUUGGUAUAAGAACAGGAUUGAAAUUAGCAACAAAGUUCUAUGGACCAUACAGAGUGCUACAGAAAAUUGGCAAUUCUUCUCACAAGCUACAACUACCUGUAGGAGUACAGAUACAUAAUGUAUUUCAUGUCAGCCAACUGAAGCAACAUUUGGGACCUAAUGUAGUUGCAGCUCCGGGUCUUCCCUUGGUGGAUUCGACAGGCAAGAUCAAAGUAGCUCCUGUAUUGGUUCUGGAAACUCGAGCUGUUCCACGGCCCCCUCGUCUUGUGACACAGUGGCUGGUGCAGUGGCUUAACAUGUCACCCGAGGAAGCAACAUGGGAAGACGCCGAUUUCAUCAAGUCCACCUUCCCAGAAUUCUUCAAUGCGACCAUUCGCUCCUGGUUUCCAUCCACAGAUCCUCGAGGACUAGGAUCAUCUUCUGGAGGAAGCAAUUGUCAGGAACCUGAUGAUCAACAACACUUAACUGAAGAUAUGGACACCCAGCCUGAAGAAAGCGACACUGACGGAGAGCUGCGUACCUGGGAAAUGGACGGCUACGAUGAAAUGAUCGCCUGA
rnacentral:rRNA from 1 species